rnacentral:rRNA from 1 species
CACGUAGGGUGCGAGCGUUGUCCGGAAUUAUUGGGCGUAAAGAGCUCGUAGGCGGUGUGUCGCGUCGGCCGUGAAAACCUGCAGCUUAACUGUGGGCGUGCGGUCGAUACGGGCAUCACUGGAGUUCGGCAGGGGAGACUGGAAUUCCUGGUGUAGCGGUGAAAUGCGCAGAUAUCAGGAGGAACACCGGUGGCGAAGGCGGGUCUCUGGGCCGAUAUUGACGCUGAGGAGCGAAAGCGUGGGGAGCAAACAGG